UCCCUGGUAUCUCAGCUGGUAAGGAAUCUACCUGCAGUGCAGGAGACUCGGGUUCGAUUCCUGGUUGGGGAA
rnacentral:tRNA from 1 species